rnacentral:misc_RNA from 1 species
AAGUCGUAACAAGGUUUCCGUAGGUGAACCUGCGGAAGGAUCAUUACCAAAUCCAAAAAACUUUAUCAACCCCUAUUGUGCACCGAGAAUGGUUCCGUCCCCUGCCUUGCGCUCUGUGCAAGAGGUGGGGGAUGUAUUUUUUUUCUUAACCGAAACACCUUUCCAACCAUUUUUAACCACGCUUAUGCUGAAAGCAAAACAAAAAACGAAACAUGAGACAACUUUUAACGGUGGAUCUCUUGGCUCGU